rnacentral:rRNA from 1 species
GCCAGCAACCAUAUCACCCUGCAACUAACCAGCAACCCACUGAAGCUAAGCAGGUGUGAGCCUGGUCAGUACCUGGAUGGGAGAUCUCCUGGUAAAAACUAAGGUUGCUGCUGGAA